rnacentral:lncRNA from 1 species
AUGUUCCCACGUGGAGGAGGUCUCCUAGGUGUUACAAACGCGGCUAGGAAUGGCCCGCAGCCCCGCUCGCCGCGGCUCAGACAAUGCCCAUCCAUGAAAGAGACCUGGUCAUGCUCCGUGCCACCGGCUUGGCAAGGUUUAUUCCCGAUUCACCCCCGUGUACGGAGAGGAGAGCGCAGCCCAAGUACCUUCCCGGCAGUUCCUAAUUCCCUGCGGCCCGCCCACGAGGCACAGGGUGCGAUGGCCGGCCUCCUUCCCCUGCGGCUCGGCGCUGCCAGCAACUCAUGCCCGGAGGCUGGCCGGGCGUUCCGAACCCCCCUCGGGAGCUGUCGUGUUCGGCAUGACUCCGACUCCCGCCCCGCUAAAGGUACAGCAAGAUUACUCAUCACCAAGUUAACAGCAAUGCACUCCAAAAUUGCUUCUGUAAUUCAGCUACAACAGCACAAGUAAGAAGGACUAAAUGACAAGGAG